rnacentral:rRNA from 1 species
AUUGAACGCUGGCGGCAGGCCUAACACAUGCAAGUCGAACGGAGCGGCGGACGGGUGAGUAAUGCCUAGGAAUCUGCCUGGUAGUGGGGGAUAACGUCCGGAAACGGGCGCUAAUACCGCAUACUAUCAGAUGAGCCUAGGUCGGAUUAGCUAGUUGGUGGUGUAAAGGCCUACCAAGGCGACGAUCCGUAACUGGUCUGAGAGGAUGAUAAGUCACACUGUAACUGAGACACGGUCCAUGCUCCUUCGGGAGGCUGACGUGGGGCAUAUUGGACAGUGGGCGAAGGCCUGAUCCAGCCAUGCCGCUUGUGUACAGAAGUUCUUCGAAUUGUUAAGCACUUUAAGUUGGGAGACGUUACCAACAGAAUGAGCACCGGCUGACUUCGUGCCAGCGGCAGCGGUAAUUC